rnacentral:lncRNA from 1 species
UAAUUUCCUCUUGUCAUGUUCUAUUCGCCGCAGAAAUCAGAAGUUCUAGCAAGAGAGAAAGAGAGAAUGGAAGCUAACUACCUCAAUCACACGCCAUGAGUUCCAGCAGCGCGCUUUCUUCCGGCGAUGAGAGAAGCGUCUCAAAGUAUAUGUCCACGAUAACGUUUACGGAAACAUCUCUAGAUCUUAUAACUCUUAUGUUUUCGUGGAUAUUUUAAUUCUUGUUUCUAAUCGCAUUUGAGAGUCUUUAUUUUUAUUUAUCUAAUGUCUAGAUUCCAAAUGGUGUUCACUUUUGAGAGAUGCGGAUCAUAUAUGCCAUGUAUUGCAAUACGACGAGUCGAUGAAGAUGGUGAAGCUAAACCACAAAAAAUUGGAGUGAAGAUCUUGAAGUGCUUGGUUUAUCUUCAAGACACAUAAUAGAUUUUUGGCACCUUAGUUAUUUAAAUAUUUUGAAAUGUUUGUAAUUGGCAUAUUAUUUUGAUUUUAUGUAAUAUUAUUUGAUAAAAUUUCUAUGCUACAAUCGUGUUAGAUGCAUUUUCAUGUGUUUUUUGUAUUUAUAUUUGAUCUUUGAUAUCACAUACCAGAUUGUGAAAUAAAAAUACGAAUAAAUAAAUAAAAUUCUUACAUGAAAUAUAUUUUACACACAAUUAAAAUUUAUUACCCACACANUUCCAGCAGCGCGCUUUCUUCCGGGCGAUGAGAGAAGCGUCUCAAAGUAUAUGUUCACGAUAACGUUUACGGAAACAUCUAUCUUGAUCUUAUAACUCUUAUGUUUUCGUGGAUAUUUAGUUCUUGUUUCUAAUCGCAUUUGAGAGUCUUUAUUUUAUUUAUCUAAUGUCUAGAUUCCAAAUGGUAUUCACUUUUGAGAGAUGCAGAUCAUAUAUGCCAUGUAUUGCAAUACGACGAGUCGAUGAAGAUGGUGAAGCUAAACCACAAAAGAUUGGAGUGAAGAUCUUGAAGUGCUUGGUUUAUCUUCAAGACACAUAAUAGAUUUUUGGCACCUUAGUUAUUUAAAUAUUUUGAAAUGUUUGUAAUUGGCAUAUUAUUUUGAUUUUAUGUAAUAUUAUUU